CCCUGUGAUUCUGUGGUGGUGGCACCACUCAGCCUCAGUAGAUGUGGAGAUAUGGCACUGAGAGGGACACAGCGAGGAUGGGUUGAUGGUUGGACUAGGUGAUCUUAGAUGUCUUUUCCAACCUUAAUGAUUCUGUGCAACUGCAGCCAUAUCCCCGUGUGGUUUCUGUUCUCCCCCGUGUUCUCCCUGCCAUUCCUGCUUGAAUCUAAUGAAUUAGAUUCUUUUCUUAUUCUGUCUUCUGCUCCUCCGCCGUCAUUAUUUGGCAGAGCUGUAGGCACAGACGUGUUGUAAUGCGGCAGCGAAGCCAGCUCGGGCUCCUUUUGAGCAGAACGAGCACUGCUUGCCAGCCGGCCUGCCGCUCCGCAGAGUGCUGGAGCUCCGUGCUCUGCCCGCUCCCAGCUCCGGCACCGUAACCGGCACUGCCGUGGCCCUCCACCCCAGCCUCAAACGCGACGCUCUCGAACGCGGCUCGACAGGGCGGGGGGCAGCCCGACAGGGCCGCUCUGCCCGCACCCACACGCCGCCUCUCCGAGCCCGGGGUGGGAGCGGCGGUGCGGGGCUGCGGCUCGGCUCCUCUGCGCGGUGCCGCCCCGGGGCAGGGAGGCAGGGCAGGCUGCGGGGGCCGGGCUGCCGGGGCCGGGCUGCCCCACCGCGUCCUGCGGCACUCGGCACCGCCGCCUGCAGCCGGGGAGCCUUUCUCAGAGGCGCUGCUGCCGAGAAACACGAGCGCUCUGACAGCAAUGCAAGCUUUCUCCGAGCUGCCAGAGCUGGCAAUUUGGACAAAGUAGUGGAAUACCUGAAAAGUGGAAUAGACAUUAAUACAUGUAAUCAGGUAAGAUAAUUGAAGGGCAAAACUACAAGAGCAAAAUGUAAGUCAUACCCUCUUCACCGAACUAGAAUUUUCAGGUUAGAU
rnacentral:lncRNA from 1 species